GUUGCAAUAACCAAUAAUCCCUAUCAGGGAUUGAAAC
rfam:Planktothrix serta PCC 8927 isolate BBR_PRJEB10992 genome assembly, scaffold: BBR_A_PL8927_scaffold60